UCGGCCCCAGGUCCUACUCGGUAUGUCCUCCAACCCAAUUAGGCCUCCACAGACUCACAGUCAAAAAAAACAAGGGUUGUGGGAAGUGCUUGCAGCAGUGCAAGCCAGAGUGCCGACGCGAAGAUGCAGGUACUUUCCUUUCUGCGUGUCUCCUCCCAAUCAGUGGCUGCCCAAUUCCAUCCAUCUCAUUAAGAAGAACAGAGAGUACCCGCUCUUUAACAGAACGGCAACUUGCUUCAUCAAGUGAACGUGAUCCAAGGAUGGAAUCAAUUUCAUCCAGGAACAGGAUGGAUGGAGCUACAGCUCGAGCUUGCUGAAAAACCUGUACUUUAAACAGAACAGAAUGUCAAUGUGCUGGGGGAGGGGGGCAGACAGCAAACAGAACUAAUAUAACCAACUAUCACCAAGAUUUAUUUUGUUCAGCUUUGAUAAUUAACGCUAGAGUGUUAAAGAUGGGAGUGCUCACAGGCUUCAGAAAAAUCUGAAUUAUCAAAGAAAAUGGUAUUUUGUGAUGUUCACUGCAUGACAACUAUAGACAUAACUGAAUUGCUCAGAACAAGGGAAAUAGAUCUGUACAGGGUUGGUGAUAAAACACAUGGGCUUUGCUUUACUGAAGUACUUUGGCUAGUGUACAUCUUUAAAUAAGGUUACUAUUAAACUUGCUG